rnacentral:rRNA from 1 species
CCUACGGGGGGCAGCAGUAGGGAAUAUUGCUCAAUGGGGGAAACCCUGAAGCAGCAACGCCGCGUGGAGGAUGAAGGUUUUAGGAUUGUAAACUCCUUUUGUUAGAGAAGAUUAUGACGGUAUCUAACGAAUAAGCACCGGCUAACUCCGUGCCAGCAGCCGCGGUAAUACGGAGGGUGCAAGCGUUACUCGGAAUGACUGGGCGUAAAGAGUGCGUAGGCGGGGUAAUAAGUCAGAUGUGAAAUCCUGGAGCUUAACUACGGAACUGCAUUUGAAACUGUUACUCUGGAGUGUGGGAGAGGUAGGUGGAAUUCUUGGUGUAGCGGUGAAAUCCGUAGAGAUCAAGAGGAAUACUCAUUGCGAAGGCGACCUACUGGAACAUUACUGACGCUGAUGCACGAAAGCGUGGGGAGCAAACAGGAUUAGAUACCCUUGUAGUC